UUAAAAAGCUCGUAGUUGGAUUUCUGGCCGAGUGUCCCCAGGCCAGCAUGACGUUUGGUCCUGGGCGCUCUGCCAUCCUUCUGUCAACCUUUGCCUCGUUCGUUCGUGGCGCUGGGGCUCAGAUAUUUUACCUUGAGAAAAUUAGAGUGUUUCAGGCAGGCUUUCGCCGGAAUACAUUAGCAUGGAAUAAUGGAAAAGGACUUCAACCUCUUCUGUUGGUCUGAGAGGCUGUAGUAAUGAUUAAUAGGGAUAGUUGGGGGCAUUAGUACUUAACUGUCAGAGGUGAAAUUCUCCGAUUUGUUAAAGACUAACUUAUGCGAAAGCAUUUGCCAAGGAUGUU
rnacentral:rRNA from 1 species